rnacentral:rRNA from 1 species
AUGCUCCCGAGCUCAAGGACGUCGAACAUCUCGUGGAGGCGAUCCUCAUCCGCCUCCCGCCCGACGAGCCUGAAACCUUGGUUCGCGCCUCCCUCGUCUGCAAGCCGUGGUGCCGCCUCCUCUCCGACCAUGGCUUCCGCAGCCGCUACCGCACCUUCCACAAGAAGAAACCCCCCCCUGCUCGGUUUCUUCCACAGUGUGUACCGCGGUGCCCCCUUCAUCUCCACCACCAAGUUUCUCCCGCGCGAUCCCCGACACUGCUAUGACUAUUCUGUGGUCGACUGCCGCCACGGCCGCGCCCUCCUCAGGUAUUUUGACGAGGAUGAGAACCGGCUCUACCUGGUCGUCUGGGACCCCAUGACGGGCAACGCCAGGAAGGUGCGGCGUCCACAGAGCUACGAUAGUGUUCCAACAGAUUGGAGCGCAGCUGUGCUUUGUGCUGUGCGCGGCUGCGACCACGUGGCUUGCCACUUGGGCCCAUUCUUCGUUGUCUUCCUCACCCUUCAUGAGGGCGAGGGGGUGGCCACGGCCACCGUUUACUCGUCCGAGACAAGGACUUGGAGCUCUCGGUCAUCCCUUCACCUUGGUGUUUUUGAAGAUGAACUGCGCUUGCCUAGCAUCACCACAUUGCUCACCGGAGGUGCGAUCCAUUAUCUCUUUGUGCGCGAUGCUCUCGCUGGUAUUCUCAAGUACGACUUGGGCACGUCUUGCUUGUCAGAGGUUGAGCUGCUGCUGGAGAUUCCGGUCGAGGACUACGAGUACUAUCCGGUCCUCAUUGCACCGGAUGAGGACGAUGGUCGGCUGGGGAUUGCAGAUCUGGACGACGAAAACCUCGACCUCUCCUUGUGGUGGAGGGAGGUUGGUCCCGACCAAGUUGCAGCAUGGACACAACGAACAGUCAUCAACCUCAAGAAUCAUGUCCAUGUAGACCGUCCAGAUGCACCAAGUUGGUUGCGUGGCUCUAUUGAAGGCACGGCCAUAGUUUUUGUAAUCACAGAUCUUGGCACCUACAAGAUUGAUCUCAAGUUACUCCCUCGUUCCCUAAGUUGCGAGAAGCUAAAGCUCUCGAAAGAGUUUUCUGAAUCUGACAGUAUACACACCCUCAUCCCCUAUUUAAGCUUUUACAGUCUACCAGGGGCACAAAUAGAGAAACUGGUUGAUUCAGGAGCAAGUGAAACGGGCAGCGACGAGGAAUUGGGAGAAAGUGAGGCUGGAAGCAGCGAUGAGGACAUGAAAGAAACUGAUGCUGGGAGCAGCGAUGAUGAAGGAGGAGAAAGUGAAACAGGAAGCAGCGACGAGGAAUCGGGAGAAAGUGAAGCUGGAACCAGCGACGAGGAAAUGGAAGAAUGUGAUGCUGGGAGCAGCGAUGAUCAAUGA